AACCUGCUAAAUAAUCGAUAAUCCACGCUAUUUUUCACUUUUGUUUAAAUUUUAUAUACCUCCAUUUUAAGAAUUUAUCUUCACGAUUUUUUUUCCAAAAAGAUUUCCUAAAAAAUUAGGUAAAGGUGUAGACCACAUAAAAGUUUUAGUGGGUUACUUUAAAAGAAAUUUAAGGAAAAAGAAAAAAAUUUCUUUUAAAAAAAGGAUUUAUAAGUAAUAUUUAAAUAAUAAUUAAAUUUGAAAAUGAUAAAAAAUGUGC
rnacentral:rRNA from 1 species